AUUGAACGCUGGCGGCAGGCUUAACACAUGCAAGUCGAGCGAGCGGCGGACGGGUGAGUAAUGUCUGGGAAACUGCCUGCUGGAGGGGGAUAACUACUGGAAACGGUAGCUAAUACCGCAUACCAUAAGAUGUUCCCAGAUGGGAUUAGCUAGUAGGUGGGGUAAUGGCUCAACUAGGCGACGAUCCCUAGCUGGUCUGAUAGGAUGACCAGCCACAAUGGAACUAAGAAACGGUCCAGACUCAUACGGUAGGCAGCAGUAGGGAAUAUUGCACAAUGGGCGCGAGCCUGAUGCAGCCAUGCCGCGUGUGUGAAGAAGGCCUUCGGUUUGUAAAGCACUUUCAGCGAGGAGGCGUUACUCGCAGAAGAAGCACCGGCUAACUCCGUGCCAGCGGCCGCGGUAAUAC
rnacentral:rRNA from 1 species